UACAGAGGGGGCAAGCGUUAUUCGGAAUUAUUGGGCGUAAAGGGCGCGUAGGCGGCCUGGCAAGUGGAAGGUGAAAUCCCUCGGCUUAACCGAGGAACUGCCUCCCAAACUGCUUGGCUUGAGACCGGGAGAGGUGAGUGGAAUUCCUGGUGUAGCGGUGAAAUGCGCAGAUAUCAGGAAGAACACCAAUGGCGAAGGCAGCUCUCUGGGACGGUACUGACGCUGAGACGCGAAAGCGUGGGGAGCGAACAGG
rnacentral:rRNA from 1 species